rnacentral:rRNA from 1 species
UACGUAGGGUGCGAGCGUUGUCCGGAAUUAUUGGGCGUAAAGAGCUCGUAGGCGGCCUGUCGCGUCGGAUGUGAAAGCCCGGGGCUUAACCCCGGGUCUGCAUUCGAUACGGGCAGGCUAGAGUGUGGUAGGGGAGAUCGGAAUUCCUGGUGUAGCGGUGAAAUGCGCAGAUAUCAGGAGGAACACCCGUGGCUAAGGCGGCUCUCUAGUACGGUACUGACGCUGAGACGCGAAAGCGUGGGGAGCGAACAGG